UUUAAGGUCUAAUCUGCUCAAUGAGGAAUUAAAUAGCCGCGGUAUCUUGACCGUGCAAAGGUAGCAUAAUAAUUAGCUUCUUUAUUGGUAGCUGGAAUGAAUGAUUGGACGAGAAAAUUACUGUCUCUUUCUGAAUGAUUGAAUUUAACUUUUGAGUGAAAAGGCUUAAGUUUAAAUUAAAGACGAGAAGACCCUAUAGAGUUUUAUUUGUUUACAGUAAAAUUUUAAUUUGGAAUAUAUUUUUAUUUUAUUGUUUACUAAUUUGGUUGGGGUGAUUUUUGGAUUUAAUAAACUCCUUUAUCAAUUAAUCAUAAAUAAGUGAUUUUGGAUUCUAGAUUUAUUUAAUUUUAAAAUAAAUUACCUUAGGGAUAACAGCGUAAUCUUACUUUAGAGUUCUUAUCAAAAGCAAGGUUUGCGACCUCGAUGUUGGAUUAAAAUUAAUUUUUGGUGCAGUAGCUUAAAAAUUGAGUCUGUUCGACUUUUAAAAUUUUACAUGAUCUGAGU
rnacentral:rRNA from 1 species